rnacentral:rRNA from 1 species
UAUUGGACAAUGGGCGAAAGCCUGAUCCAGCAAUGCCGCGUGAGUGAUGAAGGCCUUAGGGUUGUAAAGCUCUUUUACCCGGGAUGAUAAUGACAGUACCGGGAGAAUAAGCUCCGGCUAACUCCGUGCCAGCAGCCGCGGUAAUACGGAGGGAGCUAGCGUUGUUCGGAAUUACUGGGCGUAAAGCGCGCGUAGGCGGUUUUUUAAGUCAGAGGUGAAAGCCCAGUGCUCAACACUGGAACUGCCUUUGAAACUGGAAAACUUGAAUCUUGGAGAGGUCAGUGGAAUUCCGAGUGUAGAGGUGAAAUUCGUAGAUAUUCGGAAGAACACCAGUGGCGAAGGCGACUGACUGACAGAGUAUUGACGCUGAGGUGCGAA